UUGCUCCUACGGGGGGCAGCAGUGAGGAAUAUUGGUCAAUGGCCGAGAGGCUGAACCAGCCAAGUCGCGUGAGGGAAGAAUGUCCUAAGGAUUGUAAACCUCUUUUGUCGGGGAGCAAAAAGGCUCUGCGGAGUCGUAUUGAGAGUACCCGAAGAAAAAGCAUCGGCUAACUCCGUGCCAGCAGCCGCGGUAAUACGGAGGAUGCGAGCGUUAUCCGGAUUUAUUGGGUUUAAAGGGUGCGUAGGCGGAAUGCCAAGUCAGCGGUAAAAUCGCGGGGCUCAACCUCGCUCCGCCGUUGAAACUGG
rnacentral:rRNA from 1 species